ensembl:lncRNA
CUGUUUCUAAGUCCUCUCUGCUGCAGCUGACACUGUAUCAUGGCCUUUAUGUUCAUCCAUCAUACAAAAACAACAGCUACACUGCUGAUCGGUACGGCAGUAAACCUCCAGUAUUUUGUCAUGACGAGAACAGAUCUUCUCCUGUAGUUGUGUGGAGGCUUUGACCAGCUUGUGUUUCUUUAAGGGAGCUACUUCACAGUGAGGCUGGAGGUGAGUCUCACAGUAAGAGGCCAGACACACUCUCCCAAUGCCGAAAUCACACUCCACAUCUCCAGGUCCAACAUAAUAGUGAGCAGGAGGAGAAGCUUGGAGUUAUUCUGUCGUCUUCAGUUUCUCCACCAAUUCAGCCAGAAGAGUGUUUUUUCCACAGAACGGGCCUGGAGAUUAUGCUUUCCUUACACUGGGGGCAGCUGUAGACCACCUUUGAAUCACCCUGGUCGAAGCAGCCGUAGCUGUGUCCACAAGCAAUAGUCGCUGGAUUCUUCAGUAGAUCCAGACAGAUAUAACAACUGAUCGAAUCCAUAGCCUCUGUCAUUUUCAAACACACACCAACAAACAGCAAGAGUACCAGAUAGCUUUAUGUUUCGUUUUCCUUCAAAUGUUUCUUCAAAGGAGUAGGAGUGGCUUGUGUUCUGUCAACGGUGGCUUCUUGAUUCUGUUUGUGAACUCAGAUUUAGCUACCAGUUCUGGCCAGCAGAGGGCACAAGUCGCCCGUCACUGUCAGAGUGAACAUUCUCGUCAAACUGGCCCUUUUGGAGAUAUGUGAAGAUUUUUUGUGAAUUUGUUUAGCUCCCAAGAUGCAAUGGAAAUCGUGAAAUCUGUUACUGUGUGAAUUAAAUUGUCAUGUUUGGAUUGUUUCAUGAGUUCAUAAAGAGCUACGCAUUUUAAACGUUUUAAUUGUACUGUAAGUGCUAUGGAUUUAGGUACAGCGGAACUUUUAUUUUGUUCGUCAGACUGAAGAGUGUUCAAAGAGGAGCGACACAGGAGGAGCGCUUCUAUCAUUUAAAUGUAGUUGAUUAAAAUCUGGAUGUUUUUUCCUGUCUUUUAUUAACUAGCAAAGUGUAAAGAAAUGUUAAUUCGGUCAUAGCCUACUAAGCGGUGACGCAAGGCUCGCUACCUUGACUAGAUCCUAGAGACGCAGAUAUUGGAGUCAGAUUGAUAAAUGUCGUUUAUUAUUAUAUUCAACAUAAUUUCUACACUUCUACAUAAUGGUUGGAUAAUUUCCAUCCACCUACAGUAAUAUAUGCAUAAUUGUUAAGGAACUACACUGUUGCAUGUUUAAUGAAGAUCACUGUAUACUACCUGACGAUCUCACAACAAAACAGAUUUCAGUUGAAAUGUGUUAAGAUAUUUAGGAAAAAGUCAGCCUGCAACUUCAGUCAUGCAUGUCAGACAUCCACAGUCAAGGGACAAUAUACUGUAUAUACACACAGUACCAGUCAAAAGUUUGGACACACCUUUAUUUGUACUAUUUUCUACAUUGUAGAAUAAUAGUGAAGACAUCAAAACUAUGAAAUUACACAUAUGGAAUCAUGUGUUAAACAAAUCAAAAAAUAUUUAACAUUUGAGAUUCUUUAAAGUUGCCACCCUUUGCCUUGAUGACAGCUUUGCACACUCUUGGCAAUAUCCCAAUCAGCUUCAUUAGGUAGUCUCCUGGAAUGCAUUUCAAUUAACAGGUGUGCCUUGUUAAAAGUUCAUUUGUGGAUUUUUUUCUCCUUCUGAAUGUGUUUGAGCCAAUCAUUUGUGUUGUGACAAGAUAGGGGUGGUAUACAGAAGAUAGCCCUAUUUGGUAUAAGACCAAGUCCAUAUUAUGGCAAGAACAGCUCAAAUAAACAAUGAGAAACAACAGUCCAUCGUUCUUUAAGACAUGAAGUUCAGUCGAUACGGAAAAUGUCAAGAACUUUGAAAGUUUCUUCAAGUGCAGUCGCAAAAACCAUAAAGCGCUAUGAUGAAACUGUCUCUCAUGAGGACCACCACAGGAAAGGAAGACCCAGAGUUACCUCUGCUGCAGAGGAUAAAUUCAGAGUUAGCAGUCUCAGAUUACAGUCCAAAUAAAUGCUUCACAGAGUUCAAGUAACAGACACUUCUCAACAUCAACUGUUCAGAGGAGACUGCGUGAAUCAGGCCUUCAUGGUAGAAUUGCUGCAAAGAAACCACUACAAAAGGACACCAAUAAUAAGAAGAGACUUGCUUUGGCCAAGAAACACAAGCAAUGGACAUUAGACUGGUGGAAAUCUGUCCUUUGGUCUGAAAUGUAAGAUUUUUGGUUCGAACCGCUCUGUCUUUGUGAGACACAGAGUAGGUAAACUGAGGAUCUCCGUAUGUGUGGUUCCCACCGUGAAGCAUGGAGGAGGGAGGUGUGGUGGUGAUUUUCUGGUGACACUGUCUGUGAUUUAUUUAGAAUUCAAGGGACACUUAACCAGCAUGGCUACCACAGCAUUCUGCAGCAAUAAGCCAUCCCAUCUGGUUUGCGCUUAGUGGGACUAACAUUUGUUUUUCAACAGGAUAAUGACCCAAAACAUACCUCCAGGCUGUGUAAGGGCUAUUUGGCCAAGGAGAGUGAUGGAAUGCUGCAUCAGAUGACCUGGCCUCCACAAUCACUUGACCUCAAUCCAAUUGAGAUGGUUUGGGAUGAGUUAGACUGCAGAGUCAAGGAAAAGCAGCCAACAAGUGCUCAGCAUAUGUGGGAACUCCUUCAAGAUGAUUGGAAAAGCAUUCCAAGUGAAGCUGCUGGAGAGAAUGCAAAGAGUGUGCAAAGCUGUCAUCAAGGCAAAGGGUAGCUACUUUGAAGAAUCUCAAAUAUAAAAUAUAUUUUGACUUGUUUAACACUUUUUUGGUUACUACAUGAUUGCAUGCAUGUUAUUUCAUAGUUUUGAUGUCUUCACUAUUAUUCUACAAUGUAGAAAAUAGUAAAAAUAAAGAAAAAUCCUUGAAUGAGUAGGUGUGUCCAAACUUUUAACUGGUACUUGAAGUAUUCACAGCAAUUACAGCUGUGAGUAUUUUGGGGUAUGUCUCUAAGAGCUUUGCACACCUGGAAAGUACAAUAUAUGCACAUUAGUAUUUUUUAAUUCUUCAAGCUCUGUCAACUUGGUUGUUGAUCAAAACUCCCUUUCCAAUGACAAGCAUACCAAUUAGAUGAUGCAGCCACCACCAUGCUUGAAAAUAUGUGGUACUCAGUGAUGUGUUGUGUUGGAUUUGCCCCAAACAUAACACUUUGUAUUCAGGGCAUAAAGUUAAUUCCUUUCCCACAUAUUUUGCCGUUUUUCUUUAGUGCCUUAUUGCAAACAGGGUGCAUGUUUUGGAAUAUUUUUUAUUCUGUACAAGCUUCCUUCUUUUCACUGUGUUUUAGGCCACUAGAUGCAAAUCACACACUUAGUCUGUAGCUGACACUCAAAUACACUGCACUGAACAUAGGCAGAGACCUAGCCAAUGAAUGUGAAUGUUCAAUUUAGUUUCAUUAUAUCCUUACCUCACAGAAAUACAAAUGUAUGCUUUACCUCGCAACAAGCAUGCCAGAGCCAAAACAGAUUGCGAAGAGAUAAAUGAAAGCAUUUUCUUAAUCAGUUUUGGCAGGUAAUAGUUUCAUAUGGUAAUCCAAAUAUGUUCAACCAAACCCAAUGGGACUACAAAUGCUUCAACUGCUGAUACACUGUAACAAUAUUUCCCUCAUACUGUAACACUGUAUACAUUGUAAAAUAUAAUGCACACUGUAACAUUGUAAUAGUUUUUGUAACACUGUGUCAGAUCGUUUUGCAUGACCCGGUGCAAGUGGUGUAAAGUACUUAAGUAAAAAUACUUUGAAGUACUACUUAAGUAGUUUUGGGGGUAUCUGUACUUUACUUUACUAUUUAUAUUUUUUGACAAUUUUUACUUUUACUUCACUACAUUCCUAAUUAAAAUGAUGUACAUUUUACUCCAUACAUUUU